rnacentral:misc_RNA from 1 species
UUUCCGUAGGUGAACCUGCGGAAGGAUCAUUACCGAGUGAGGGUCUCUCAGGCCCGACCUCCCACCCUGUGUCUUUGUGACCUUGUUGCUUUGGCGGUUCCGCGUCGAUGUGAGGCCGCCGGGAGCUCACUGCGUUGGGCCCGCCCUCGCAAGUAGCCCCCUUAAAUUCAUAAUAAACCUUUUGUCUGAGUCUAAAUAUAAUAAAAAAAACAUUCAACAACUGUUCCCUUGGUUCUGACAUCGACGAAUAACGAAAGCGAACGGAAGAGCACACGUCUC